GGGGUAUGAGGGGAGGUGGAGGGGAGGGUGGCAGAGGACAGGGGGUAUUAGGGGAGGUGGAGGGGAGGGAUGUGGAGGAAGGGUGGCAGAGGAUGGGUGUGAGGGGAGGUGAAGGGGAAGAUGUGGAGGAUUGGUGGCAGAGGACAGGGUGUGUGGAGAGGUGGAGGGGAGGGAUGUGGCGGGAGGGUGGCAGGGAACAGGAGGUGUAAAGGGAGAUGAAGGGGAGGCUGUGGAGGGAGGCUGGCAGGGGACAGGGGGUUUGAGGGGAGGUGGAGGGGAGGAUGUGGAGGGAGGUGGCAGAGGACAGGGUGUGAGGGGAGG